rnacentral:misc_RNA from 1 species
AGGUGGACGAGUGACCAUAUUAGACUAAGCUAAGCAUAGGUAGAAUAUUAGGGAAAAGGCAGUGGUGGUGUCAAUUGAGAAUAAAUUGAGAGAAGUUUGGAGUGGUUUGGUUAUGUAAAAAGCUGUAGACAUGAGAGACUCUGGCUAGACAAGUAGAGUUUGGUCAUGUAAAUUGUGUAGACACGUGGAGUCUCCAGUUAGACAA